rnacentral:misc_RNA from 1 species
UCCGAGUUGACCCCGGGCAGUUCCGUCAGAGUGCCCAACUCAAUGCUGGCAACAGACGGUGAGGGUUGCGCUCGUUGCGGGACUUAACCCAACAUCUCACGACACGAGCUGACGACAGCCAUGCAGCACCUGUGUUCCCGCCAGCCGAACUGAAGAGCUCCGUCUCCGGUGCUCAUACGGGACAUGUCAAGGGCUGGUAAGGUUCUGCGCGUUGCUUCGAAUUAAACCACAUACUCCACCGCUUGUGCGGGCCCCCGUCAAUUCCUUUGAGUUUCAGUCUUGCGACCGUACUCCCCAGGCGGCGAACUUAACGCGUUAGCUUCGAUACUGCGUGCCAAAUUGCACCCAACAUCCAGUUCGCAUCGUUUAGGGCGUGGACUAC